UACAGAACGAACGCUGGCGGCAGGCUUAACACAUGCAAGUCGAGCGCGUAGCAAUACGAGCGGCAGACGGGUGAGUAACGCGUGGGAAUCUACCCAACCUACGGAAUAACGCAUGGAAACGUGUGCUAAUACCGUAUACGCCCUUUGGGGGAAAGAUUUAUCGGGGAUGGAUGAGCCCGCGUUGGAUUAGCUAGUUGGUGGGGUAAAGGCCUACCAAGGCGACGAUCCAUAGCUGGUCUGAGAGGAUGAUCAGCCACAUUGGGACUGAGACACGGCCCAGACUCCUACGGGAGGCAGCAGUGGGGAAUAUUGGACAAUGGGCGAAAGCCUGAUCCAGCAAUGCCGCGUGAGUGAUGAAGGCCUUCGGGUUGUAAAGCUCUUUUACUCGGGACGAUAAUGACGGUACCGAGAGAAUAAGCCCCGGCUAACUCCGUG
rnacentral:rRNA from 1 species